rnacentral:snRNA from 1 species
AUACUCUGGUUUCUCUUCAUAACGCACAAGUCUUUCGCCUUUUACUAAAGACUUCCGUGGAGAGUGACUCCAACGAGUUUAGCCUAUUUUUGGCAGGCUUUGCUCUCUGGCAGAGCCG